AUACGUAGGGUGCGAGCGUUGUCCGGAAUUACUGGGCGUAAAGAGCUCGUAGGUGGUUUGUCGCGUCGUAUGUGAAAUUCCGGGGCUUAACUCCGGGCGUGCAGGGGAUACUGGCAUGACAUGGGUAAUGUAGGGGAGGCUGGAAUUCCUGGUGUAGCGGUGAAAGGCGCAGAUUUCAGGAGGAACCCCGGUGGCGAAGGGGGGUCUCUGGGCAUUAACUGACGCUGAGGAGCGAAAGCAUGGGUAGCGAACAGGAUUAGAUACCCUGGUAGUCCAUGCCGUAAACGGUGGGCGCUAGGUGUAGGGGUCUUCCACGACUUCUGUGCCGUAGCUAACGCAUUAAGCGCCCCGCCUGGGGAGUACGGCCGCAAGGCUAAAACUCAAAGGAAUUGACGGGG
rnacentral:rRNA from 1 species